AUUGAACGCUGGCGGCAGGUCUAACACAUGCAAGUCGAGCGGAUGAAGGGAGCUUGCUCCUGGAUUCAGCGGCGGACGGGUGAGUAAUGCCUAGGAAUCUGCCUGGUGGUGGGGGAUAACGUCCGGAAACGGGCGCUAAUACCGCAUACGUCCUGAGGGAGAAAGUGGGGGAUCUUCGGACCUCACGCUAUCAGAUGAGCCUAGGUCGGAUUAGCUAGUUGGUGGGGUAAAGGCCUACCAAGGCGACGAUCCGUAACUGGUCUGAGAGGAUGAUCAGUCACACUGGAACUGAGACACGGUCCAGACUCCUACGGGAGGCAGCAGUGGGGAAUAUUGGACAAUGGGCGAAAGCCUGAUCCAGCCAUGCCGCGUGUGUGAAGAAGGUCUUCGGAUUGUAAAGCACUUUAAGUUGGGAGGAAGGGCAGUAAGUUAAUACCUUGCUGUUUUGACGUUACCAACAGAAUAAGCACCGGCUAACUUCGUG
rnacentral:rRNA from 1 species